GGGAGAUGCUCACUCCUUGCCUUGGCUUUUCCCCUGUGCCCCCCCAUGCGCUUACACUUGCUGUAGGACUCACCAAAACCUCCGUGUCGCCCGCUGAAGUCACCUCAGUGUGGUGGGACGUGACGCUGGAGGGGUUAGAUGAGGGUACUGUGUGUCGCCCGGCUGGAGCCCUCCAUAAGGAGGAGCAGAGCGGGGGGCAGCGGCUCCCUGGGCUCCAGCACCCCCUGAAUCACCCCGGGAAGGCGCUUGUUGACGAGCACUCGGUACAAAAAGCUGUCUAAGGACACAUCCUUGGGCGGUGGCACAGACUGCUAUGUGCAGGAGAGGAGGUUGUGUGAAGUUCUGCCCGUGCCAUCGCUGGAAACAUUCAACUUUACUCCUCUGAUUUCAACACGAGUUACAGAGGGAUACCAAAGCGACAGAUAUGGAUGCCACUGAACGUGCCACUAAGGCAGCUAAGACAGAGGCUCCAAGAUGACUUGUCCACAAACAGAGCAUUUAGUGCUCUUCCAGUUUACAGCACUUUGCAGAGAAACCAGGAGAGAAGGAAGCAGCAAAGAAGAAAUGGAUAAAUGAAUGGAGGCCGAAGGUGGAAAACACUUAUUCAGCGACUUGUGGGUCUCAUGUACACUGAUCCACCUGAAUAUUUUGACCUUCCUAAAGCACCUCUGUGGUAACAGAAGCUGCUCCAAGCUGAAUAAGUGAAAGAGAGAAGAGCUGAGAUGUGGAGUUACUGGGGAGUGAUGCUGCCCUGACAAUUCACCAACACUUUCCCUUGAGCUGUGUUCUCCUGAUCUAGCUCAGGAGUGUUGUGUGGAGCAAAGCAAAGGUCCUGCCCUUCUCACUUGGCAUCUGGGAACUGACAGCUGACCAUGGGAAUUUACACCUACAUGUCAAUAUUACUACAUCUUACUGAUAUUUUCAGUAAGAACUGUAAAAUGGUUCAGCAUUGAACAAUAGCCUUUAGUGAAUUCUAAUCUGUACUAAAAUGUGAUUCUGGUGUCAGCGCUUUGAUACGAAUUUUUGGAACAAAUUAAAAAUACUCGACUCUUAAUAUUUUGUUAUUCUGCGAUGAAUUCACAGGUUCAGUCUAUCAGAAUCAUGUAAAUUGGCUUCUUUUGGCAUAUUUUACAUUUUGUUGCACACUAAUGUAAUCUACUUAAUUGUAGAAUUCAGUAAUAUCUCAAAUUACUACUUGGUUAAACAAGAGGGAAUCUGAUACAAGAAUUUUGAUAUGAUUAAUACUUAUUUAGUAAUUCUUGUAACUUCUUUGUAUGCCCUUUAUGAAUAACUGCCCUGUUCUUAAACUUUUGCUCCUUCUGCACGAUUGCAGUACUCAUCUGUUGGUUGUAGCAUUACCCUGGAAUGUGGAUGAAGAUCUCAUUUAGCUCAAAUGCACUGUGGCUGCUCCUGCAGCUUCUCGGGAACACACCUCCAUGUAUCCCUGGCCUGCUGCCAUGGGAUGCCAGGCACCUGUAGGUUCAGGUAUAAAUGUUACAUCUUGGAACUUAUUCUAAUACUGUGAGCAAACUUGUGCAUGAUGAAUUGAUUUCUUUUUUGUUUGUUUGUUUUCUGCUAUAAUUACCUUCUCUUGUACCAGAAGUUAUUUGUUCCACUGAAAUACAUGGGAAUGUGCGAAGUUGGCACUCUUGAUUUAUUGCUUUUGCCUCAUAAUCUAUUUUGCAAAAAAUGCACUGUUCAAAUUUGCUUUUAGUGCUAGAUGAGAGAUCAUUAACUCGCUCUCUUGAGGGCAGGCGUCCUAGUAAAGGCAGGCAGAAGUUCAGGAAAGCUACACCUCCAGAUAACAUGAAGGAAAAACUCUUGAUAUGCAAACAUGGCAUUACUACAGCCUGACCACGGGCUCCAUGGAAAGAACAACAGACUGAUAGCACAGGGCUGCAUGGCCUCCUUGGGAGAUACAGCCCAGGCUCUCAGCUGAAGCCUGUAUGAGUCUCUGAGCUCACUGCUCGGUUAUCCUGUUUGCUGGCAUUCAGCAGUAUCCAAUAAAGUCUUCUAGGUCUGAA